rnacentral:lncRNA from 1 species
UUCACCUUAGCCCUUCUGCCAUGAUUGUAAGCUUCCUAAGCCUCCCCAGCAAUGCCUCCUCUACAGCCUGUGGAACUGCUGAUAGGCAGAAGUGACGUGCCUUGUGUCAGAUGAGACUUUGGACUUGGACUUUUGAGUUAAUGCUGGAAUGAGUUAAGACUUUGGGGGACCAUUGGGAAGGCAUGAUUGUGUUUUAAAAUGUGAGAAGGACAUGAGAUUUGGGAAGGGGCAGUGGUAGAACGAUUUGGUUUGGCUUUGUGUCCCCACCCAAAUCUCACGUUGAGUUGUAAUCCCUAGUGUUGGAGGUGGGGCGUGGUGGGAAGUGAUUGGAUCAUGGGGUGAUUUCUAGUGGUUUAGCAUCAUUCCCCUAGUGCUGUCUUAUGAUAGAAUUCUCACAAGAUCUGGUUGCUUAAAAGUGUAUGACACUUUCCCCUUCUCUCUCUCUUUCUCUCUUUCUCUCUCUCCUGCCACCAUGUGAAGACAUGCUUGCUUCCCCUUUGUCCUUCUGCCAUGAUUGUGAGUUUCCUGAGGCCUCCCCAACCAUGCAUCCUGCACAGCUUGUGGAACUCUGCUACCUGUGAGGAUUCUUUGCAGCAUCCAAGCAACACCUCUUCCUGUUCAAACCCAGGAGCCAUCUCUUCACGCAUUUUAUUGUCCAGUGUGCUGUUUUUGGUUAACUGUGUCUCUCACCAAGAAGAAAACAGCAGCAGUGUUGUAAUUAAUCACAAGGCAGCUCUUCAGAAC